rnacentral:lncRNA from 1 species
GGACAAAUUUCCCCUUUUUAUAAGGAUACCAGGCAUAUUGGAUUAGGGUUCCUCUCUACUCCAGUAGGACCUCAUCUUCACUAAUUACAUCUGCAAUAACCCUUUCCAAAUAAGGUCACAUUCUGAGGAACUAGAGCAAUCUGAAGAGGAUGUAAGUCAGUUUGAUUCCAAGUUUACACGUCAGACACCUGUCGACAGCCCAGAUGACACAACUCUCAGUGAAAGUGCCAAUCAGGUGUUUUUGAUGGAGCCUCACUCUCUCGCCAGACUGGAGUGCAGUGG